UUGGGAUCUCAUGGGAGGGCAGCACCGGGUCUGGAACGGAAGCCUUUGCCCACCUGGCCUCUACAUGGACCACGUGGCCGGAGGGUUGGGCCUUCCAGGGCCAUGCACCUGGGAGGGACAAUGCUGGGUGCGGUUGGGUCACAUGUCUAACUUAGGUGUGCAGUUGCCUACAUAUGCCUGUGGCCUCAAGGCCAUGUAGAAAUUGUCCCUGGUUCAGCCAAAGCAAAUUCAACUGUGCUUUUUCCCCAAGUCUGCAUUCAGUGACAUCAUGUUGGUGGAUUGAAAUCAGCCACAGUGGGAAUAUUUACACCACAGAAAUGGGCAGCAACCACCACAAAUCAGGGCUUUAUUCAUUAUUUGGUUGACUAUCUAGACUUAAGAAGGUUAUGGAGAAAAUGCUAAUAAUGCACAUUA
rnacentral:lncRNA from 1 species